AGUAAAAUAAGCUAAAUAAGCUAAUGGGUUCAUACCCCAUAAAUGAGUAAAACUCUUUUACUA
rnacentral:tRNA from 1 species